GACGAACGCUGGCGGCGUGCUUAACACAUGCCAGUCGAACGGAAAGGCCCUGCUUUUGUGGGGUGCUCGAGUGGCGAACGGGUGAGUAACACGUGAGUAACCUGCCCUUGACUUUGGGAUAACUUCAGGAAACUGGGGCUAAUACCGGAUAGGAGCUCCUGCUGCAUGGUGGGGGUUGGAAAGUUUCGGCGGUUGGGGAUGGACUCGCGGCUUAUCAGCUUGUUGGUGGGGUAGUGGCUUACCAAGGCUUUGACGGGUAGCCGGCCUGAGAGGGUGACCGGCCACAUUGGGACUGAGAUACUGCCCAGACUCCUACGGGAGGCAGCAGUGGGGAAUAUUGCACAAUGGGCGGAAGCCUGAUGCAGCAACGCCGCGUGCGGGAUGACGGCCUUCGGGUUGUAAACCGCUUUCGCCUGUGACGAAGCGUGAGUGACGGUAAUGGGUAAAGAAGCACCGGCUAACUACGUG
rnacentral:rRNA from 1 species